UCCUGCUCAAACUACAUGCCCCUCCUUCUGAAAUGUUCUAAAAUCCUGGAUGAUCACAGAAGAGCAGCAAAACCUAACGAAGAGGACAGAUGGGAUAUCAAGUAUCAAAUCCGACAAUAACCCAAAACACACCUCAAGGCUGUGUAAGGGUAUUUAUUUGACCAACGAGAGUGAUGGAGUGCUGCAUCAGACGACCAGGCCUCCACAAUCACCCUACCACAACCCAAUUGAGAUGGUUGGAACGAGUUGGAUUGCAGAGCGAAGGAAAAGCAGCCAACAAGUGCUCAGCAUACAGUUGAAGUCGGAAGUUUACAUACACCUUAGCCAAAUACAUUUAAACUCAGUUUUCACAAUUUCUGACAUUUAAUCCAAGUAAAAAUUCCCUGUCUUAGGUCAGUCUUAGGUCACCACUUUAUGUUAAUAAUGUGAAAUGUCAGAAUAAUAGUAGAGAGAAUGAUUUAUUUCAGCUUUUACUUCUUUCAUCACAUUCCCAGUGGGUCAGAAGUUACCAUACACUCAAUUAGUAUUUGGUAGCAUUGCCUUUAAAUUGUUUAACUUGGGUCAAAUGUUUUCGGGUAGCCUUCCACAAGCUUCCCACAAUAAGUUGGGUGAAUUUUGGCCCAUUCCUCCAUGACAGAGAUGGUGUAACUGAGUCAGGUUUGUAGGCCUCCUUGCUCGCUCAUGCUUUUUCAGUUCUGCCCACAAAUUUUCUAUAGGAUGGAGAUCAGGGCUUUGUGAUCGCCACUCCAAUACCUUAACUUUGUUGUCCUUAAGCCAUUUUGCCACAACUUUGGAAGUAUGUUUGGGGUCAUUGUCCAUUUGGAAGACUCAUUUGCGACCAAGCUUCAACUUCCUGACUGAUGUCUUGAGAUGUUGCUUCAAUAUAUCCACGUAAUUUUCCUUUCUCAUGAAGCCAUCUAUUCUGUGAAGUGCACCAGUCCCUCCUGCAGCAAAUCACCCCCACAACAUGCUACCACCUCCAUGCUUCACGGUUGGGAUGGUGUUCUUCGGCUUGCAAGCCUCCCCCUUUUCCUCCAAACAUAACAAUGGUCAUUAUGGCCAAACAGUUCUAUUUUUGUUUCAUCAGACCAGAGGACAUUUCUCCAAAAAGUAUGUUAUUUGUCCCCAUGUGCAGUUGCAAACCUUAGUUUUUUUUAUGGCAGUUUUGGAGCAGUAGCUGCUGAGCCGCCUUUCAGGUUAUGUUGAUAUAGGACUCGUUUUACUGUGUGUAUAUAAAUACUCUUGUACUUGUUUCCUCCAGCAUCUUCACAAGGUCCUUUGCUGUUGUUCUGGGAUUGAUUUGCACUUUUCUCACCAAAGUACUUUCAUCUUUAGGAGACAGAACGCUUCUCCUUCCUGAGCGGUAUGUCAGCAGCGUGGUCCCAUGGUGUUUAUACUUGCGUACUAUUGUUUGUCCAGAUGAACAUGGUAACUUCAGGCAUUUGGAAAUUGCCAGACUUGUGGAGGUCUACAAUUUUUUUCUGAGGCCUUGGCUGAUUUAUUUUGAUUUCCCCAUGAUGUCAAGCACAGAGGCACUGAGUUUGAAUGUAGGCCUUGAAAUACAUCCACAGGUACACUUCUAAUUGUCUCAAAUGAUGUUAAUUAGCCUAUCAGAAGCUUCUAAAGCCAUGACAUAAUGUUCGGUUAUUUUCCAAGCUGUUUAAAGGCACAGUCAACUUAGGUUUUGUAAACUUCUGACCCAUUGGAAUUAUGAUACAAUGAAUUAUAAGUGAAAUAAUCUGUCUGUUAACUUCUUGAUGCACCCAUCCCGUUAGCGGGAUCAUUUUCGUCAACAUCCGCUAUAUUGCAGAGUGCCAAAUUCAAAUUAAAUUACUAAAAAUACUUCAUUUUCAUGAAAUCACAAGUGCAAUAUAGCAAAACACAGCUUAGCUUGUUGUUAAUCCACCUGGCAUGUCAUAUUUCAAAAAAGCUUUUCGGCGAAAGCAUACCAAGUGUUUAUGUAAGGACAACUCUCUCAGUAGACAAAAUAUUACAAACAGCUAGUAGCCAAGUAGAUUGGUCACGAAAGUCAGAAAAGCAAUAAAAUGAAUCGCUUACUUUUGAUGAUCUUCAGAUGUUUGCACUCACGAGACUCCCAGUUACACAAUAAAUGUUCCUUUAAGUUCCAUAAAGAUUAUUUUUAUAUCCAAAAUACCUCCAUUUGGUUGGUGCGUCAGAAAUCCACAGGCUCAAGCGGUCAAGUCCGGGCAGACGAAAAUUCCAAAUAGUAUCCGUAAAGUUCGUAGAAACAUGUCAAACGUUUUUUAUAAUCAAUCCUCAGGUUGCUUUUACAAUAUAUAAUCGAUAAUAUUUCAACCGGGACUUUAGCUUCUUCAAUAGGAGAGAGAGAGAAAAUGUCUGCUCCAAGCUGUUGCGCAUGCAAAACGCUGCUGGCACCCAGCCAUCCAUAUGACGUGAUGUGAUCUUUCUCACUCAUUUUUCAAAAUAAAAGCCUGAAACUAUGUCUAAAGACUGUUCACACCAUGGGGAAGCCAUAGGAAAAGGAAUCUGGUUGAUAUCCCUUUAAAUGGAGCGAAGGCAGGCUAUGGAACAGAGAGGUUUCAGGAAAAACAGCACUUCCGGGUUGGAUUUUCCUCAGGUUUUCGCCUGUAAUAUCAGUUCUGUUAUACUCACAGACAAUAUUUUUGACAGUUUUGGAAACUUUAGUGUUUUCUAUACUAAUCUGACAAUUAUAUGCAUAUUCAGAUUCUGGGCCUGAGAAAUAGGCAGUUUCAUUUGGGUACAUUUUUCAUCCAAACAUCAAAAUACUGCCCCCUACACUCAACAGGUUAACAGUUGUUGGAAAAAUAACUUGUGUCAUGCACAAAGUAGAUGUCCUAACCGACUUGCCAAAACUAUAGUUUGUUAACAAGAAAUUUGUGGUGGUUGAAAAAUGAGUUUUAAUGACUCCAACCUCAGUGUAUGUAAACUUCCGACUUCAACUGUAUGUGGGAACUCCUUCAAGACUGUUGGAAAAGCAUUCCAGGUGACUACCUCAUGAAGCUGGUUGAGAGAAUGCCAAGCGUGUGCAAAGCUGUCAUCAAGGCAAAGGGUGGUCACUUUGAAGAAUCUCAAAUUUAAAAUAUAUUUUGAUUUGUUUUACACUUUUUUGGUUACUACAUGAUUCCAUAUGGUGUUGUUUCAAUGUAGAAAGUAGUAAAAAUAAAAUAAAACCCUUGAAUGAGUAGGUGUAUCCAAACUUUCGACUGGUACUGUAUAUAUACACUAUCGUUCAAAACCUUGUUUUUGAAAGAAAAGAAAGAAAAAAAAUGGUCCAUUAAAAUAACAUCAAAUUGAUCAGAAAUACAGUGUAGACAUUGUUAAUGUUGUAAAUGACCAUUGUACCUGGAAACGGCAGAUUUUUUAUGGAAUAUCUACGUAGGAGGCCCAUUUUCAGCAACCAUCAAUCCUGUGUUCCAAUGGCACGUUGUGUUAGCUAAUCCAAGUUUAUAAUUUUAAAAGGCCAAUUGAUCAUUAGAAAACCCUUUUGCUAUUAUGUUAGCACAGCUGAAAACUGUUUUCUGAUUAAAGAUGCAAUAAAACUGUCCUUUAGACUAGUGGGUUCGAUUACUGGCUCAAACAUUUUUAGAAACACAACUUUCUUCUGAAACUAGACAGCCUAUUCUUGUUCUGAGAAAUUAAGGCUAUUCCAUGCAAGAAAUUGCCAAGAAACUGAAGAUCCCGUACAAUGCUGUGUACUACUCCCUUCACAGAACAGCGCAAACUGUCUCUAACCAGAAUAGAAAGAGGAGUGGGAGGCUCCGGUGCAGUCAUUUACAACAUUAACAAUGUCUACACUGUAUUUCUGAUCAAUUUGAUGUUAUUUUAAUGGACAAAAAAUGUGCUUAUCUUUCAAAAACAAGGUUAUAUCUAAGUGACCCCAAACGUUUUAACGGUAGUGUAUAUACUGAAUAAAAGUAUAAACGCAAUGUAAAGUGUUGGUUCCAUUUUUCAUGAGCUUAAAUAAAAGAUCCCAGAAAUGUUCCAUACGCACAAAAUGCUUAUUUCUCUCAAAUUUCGUUCUCAAAGUUGGAAGCACAGAAUUGUCUAGUAUGUCAUUGUAUGUUGCAGCGUCAAGAUUUCCCUUCACUGGACCUAAGGGGUCUAGCCCGAACCAUGAAAAACAGCCCGAGACCAUUAUUCCUCCUCCACCAAACUUUACAGUUUGCACUAUGCAUUGGGGCAGGUAGCGUUCUCCUGACAUCCACCAAACCCAGAUUUUAUUCCAUCAGACUGCCAGAUGGUGAAGCGUGAUUCCUCACUCCAGAGAACACAUUUGAGGUUGUACAUAUCCUCAGCUGAAAGCUGAAUUACAUUAUACACUAUACAGACAAAAAUAAAAUGUAAAAGAUGUACAUUGAUGAGGAAAUUAAGAGUUGAUUGAAGAGUUGAUUGGAGUGGAGGGAGCAUCGUUGGUCUCUGAGCAGAGGGUGCCAGACCUGGGCAGAAAAUACUUGUAUUUUGCUGUUUAUUUGAAAAUAGCAACUUUUCAAAUACUCAAGGUAGUCGAACAUAGUGUAUAUAGAGUUUUAAAUAAAAUGCAACAAUUUUCAUUGACAUUCAAAUACCAGUCUCAGAAAAAAAAAAAAAUGUUUUAAAGUAUUUUGAAUAUCUUUCAGAAAACCAAAUAAUAUUUGAAGAUAUUUCAAUAUAUAUGCAAGUUAUUUGAAAAUAGAAACAUUUGAGUUCAAUUCUCAAUAUAUGAUAAGCACAUGGUUUGGAGGGCUCUGAGAUAUUUAUCUUAAUAUAGCCUAUUGUCACGCCCUGGUCUUAGUAUUUUGUGUUUAUAUAAUUAUUUGGUCAGGCCAGGGUGUGACAUGGGGUUAUUUUGUGUUGUGUUGUGGUAUUGGGGGUUUUAGUAGGUAUUGGGAUUGUGGCUGAGUAGGGGUGUCUAGCAUAGUCUAUGGCUGCCUGAGGUUCUCAAUCAGAGUCAGGUGAUUCUCGUUGUCUCUGAUUGGGAACCAUAUUUAGGUAGCCUGGGUUUCACUGUGUGUUUGUGGGUGAUUGUUCCUGUCUUUGUGUUUGCACCUGAUAGGGCUGUUUCGGUUUUCAUUAUUUCAUUCCGUUAGUUUUGUAGUUUCUGUAUGUAUAGGUUUUCCUUCAUUAAAAUAUAUCAUGAAUCAUCAUC
ensembl:lncRNA